GGUUGGGCUUCGCGCGGCGUAGGCCCGCGAACCCCGCCAGGACCGGAAGGUAGCAACGGUAAGCGGCUCCUUACGGGUGCCGCGAAUCACCUGAUCUCC
rnacentral:SRP_RNA from 1 species